rnacentral:rRNA from 1 species
UACGGAGGGUGCGAGCGUUAAUCGGAAUUACUGGGCGUAAAGGGUGCGUAGGUGGUAUGGUAAGUUAUCUGUGAAAUUCCUGGGCUUAACCUGGGACGGUCAGAUGAUACUGCUGUACUCGAGUAUGGGAGAGGGUAGUGGAAUUUCCGGUGUAGCGGUGAAAUGCGUAGAGAUCGGAAGGAACACCAGUGGCGAAGGCGGCUACCUGGCCCAAUACUGACACUGAGGCACGAAAGCGUGGGGAGCAAACAGG